rnacentral:lncRNA from 1 species
UUCCUCCGCUUCUUCUCUCUCCAAGGUUUCUCUCUCUAUCUGCCAAUUAACUCCUCCUCCUUUUGUUCUGUGAUGUUAAAAGGUUCCUCUGUUCUUGGAUUUAAUUCUCAGGAGCAGUCACAGGUUGAAUUGGAGCUCACGUUAUUAGAAGCUCUUGAAAUCUAUCCUCCCAUUAAACUCCGAGGCAAGUUCUCUUCUCUCACAAAAAAAAAAAUCAUAUCUUUUCCAUGUCCUG